rnacentral:tRNA from 1 species
UUUCAGGUGGCCGAAGUUUAAGCACUAGACUUUUAAUCUAGCCACGGUAUUUACUAUACCCCUG